rnacentral:rRNA from 1 species
GGGUACUUUGGAGGGACUCUGACGCAGCGACGCCGCGUGAGCGAUGAAGGUCUUCGGAUCGUAAAGCUCUGUCCUUGGGGAAGAAGGGCGCUGUUCCGCGUGGUGGAGGCCCCCCUAACUGGAGGCCCCGGCUAGUUGCUAUAAACCGGCCUAGGAAUUAAUA